AAAAUAUAACUGGAAAGAAUGUUUUGGAGAUGACAUUUUGCUCUCCGGAGGCCAGCAUAACAUGACUGCAGUGUGAGCUGUGUACUUUUGUCCAGCCAGCACUUCCUUUACUUGACAUGGAUAUUGCACUUUUGUAAAGCAUCCUGGAACUCUGCUGCCCCGCUGCAUGCUGUGCAGAGCGCUGGAUAGGAAACACAGACAAAUGGUUUGGUUUUCCUUUAGUAUUGUUAUUUUGUUUUUUUUUCUUCUUUUUUUGUUUUUUACUGGAACCUUGAGCAACAGCAUGGCAUUUCUGCAGGCUGGUCUGAGUAGAUCUGCUGAAGAACAGAUGGCCUUUGCCUAUUCCUAUGGCUGCGACGCAAUCAGUCUCAUCCAUAUGGUCACAUUUUGUCUGAGGAGGGGACUCUCAGAAGCCAAGAUCUCCCAGACUCUGUGCCUCCCUCUCGAGCGAACAGCAGGUGCUAUCUGGCAAAGACUCAUCUGUUCUAGAUGGCAUUCAUGGUCGAGGGAGCCCAAACUCUUUGAGCUGUAGGAGGGAAAGCUGUAGAGAUUUCUCUCUCUUCCAUUGCGUGUCCUUGUUCUUAAUGUGACAAAAAUGCCCAGGCCAUAUCGCUUGGUGUGUCCCAGCUGACCUUAUCAGAACAUUUAUCAUGUUACUGGUUGCUGACAAAGGGGUCCAGAAUUCAGGGGAGCUGAGAUUGGCCUCUGGACACCUCACUGACUGCGGAAGGAGGGAGGCUCGUCCAGCUGGAGGCGACUGCAUCGCUGAAGGCACUUCAUGUUACUUUUUCAGAAGCACAAAUGUGGUCAUUGGCUUGUCUGGUUGGCUUGGUUUAUUUCCACCACAUCAUCACGUGUGAAUGACUUUUUCUUUUGAAACUGAGAACUCUUCCAAGCACACGAACAUCUCCACAAUGUGAAAUGUAAAUAGCAUGUUGGACUCUCGUGUCCAGUGUUCAAGACUGCAUUGUAAUUGUAAAGGAAAUCGAAUCAAGACUUGGCUGUGAAUUUCUUGUGCUGUCUUGGGAAUAUAACUGUAGUGUUUGUAUCCUGUAUGUAUUAUUAAACUGAGUUCAUUUUAUGUGCU
rnacentral:lncRNA from 7 species